rnacentral:rRNA from 1 species
ACGCUCGACACCUACGGGAGGCNGCAGUGGGGAAUAUUGCACAAUGGGGGAAACCCUGAUGCAGCGAUGCCGCGUGAAGGAAGAAGUAUCUCGGUAUGUAAACUUCUAUCAGCAGGGAANAAAAUGACGGUACCUGACUAAGAAGCCCCGGCUAACUACGUGCCACAGCCGCGGUAAUCUGAGCGGGCUGGCAAGGC